GCAGUAUGGACGAUGGGGCGGGGCGACACUUCGAGGCGGAGCGACACGUGUCGCCCCGCCCAUAUUUGUUUUCCCCGCCUUUGACAUUUUCCUCCGAGCCAGCAGGGGGCAGUUUGCGUUGAAACAAACAGAACGGUGGCAACUACAGCAGCAGAGUAAUAACGCUAUUCCGUUGAUUGCUUGAGGAUGACAUGAUCAGGAGGUGGUGGUGUUCUGUUCUCCUGGACAGCUUAUAUCUCUCCUGAUACUCCGCAAAUAGCUCAACCACUGAGGAGAACUUCACCAUUCACCAUGUCUUCAGGCAGAGUCCAGCAAAGCAGCUUCCACUGGAAAUCCUCAGGGAAGUUAUUUUGUCGGCGGGUGACUCUGCAUAUUUGACACUUUCUCUGGUUUGCAGAUGGUUUAGGGAUGUGCUCCGAAGUUUUUCGGAAAGCGGCACAGUUUGCCUGGCUAGACAGUAAGAUUUCCCCGUUUAAUGCUCAUUCUCCAAUUGAAUUUUGUAGUAGAAGGCUGUUAAACUUUUUUUGUAUUAUUAUUAUUAUCUUUCAUGUAUUUUGUCUUUACACUAUAAGUUGUGGCCAACUGGAAGAAUUGUCCUCCUGUCUCCUGACUGGAACGAGUUCAGACGGAUGUACAGCAUCAGGGAAUGCUUGCAGUGCAGAGCCCUUUUCAAGGUUAACCCACCAGGGUACAGGGAAGGGACCGGCGUGGUGAUCUUCUGGGCUUUUGUUUACACAGGAUUUUGUUCCAAGGACUUUUUUUUUUUUGCGGCAUGAAACACAUUUGUGUGUUAAGUUCAUUGAAGGGAAAUAACUGGUUUU